rnacentral:rRNA from 1 species
CAGCAGCCACGGUAAUACGAAGGGGGCUAGCGUUGUUCGGAAUCACUGGGCGUAAAGGGUGCGUAGGCGGGCAUUUAAGUCAGGGGUGAAAUCCCGAGGCUCAACCUCGGAACUGCCCUUGAUACUGGAUGUCUUGAGUCCGGAAGAGGUGAGUGGAACUGCGAGUGUAGAGGUGAAAUUCGUAGAUAUUCGCAAGAACACCGGUGGCGAAGGCGGCUCACUGGUCCGGAACUGACGCUGAGGCACGACAGCGUGGGGAGCAAACAGGAUUAGAUACCCCUGUAGUCCCUGUCUCUUAUAC